AGACCCAACAUUAAAGAAAGAGACUGCCUUUCUGUGGUUUGGGAACAGCAGCUUGAUGUGAAAUAAUCUUGAAGAUGAGGUCCAAUGUUUUCUUUUGACGUAGGUUGACAAUGCAACAAGUUGCUGUUGUGGAGGGAGACAAAAAAAGCAGGUGUUGUCUGAACUCACGAGAAGAUGCUUGCUCUGAAGAGUUUACAAUCUACUAACACAUGCAGCCUUUAAAAUGGGGGACAGUGGAACACAACAAAGCAUAACAGAAGAGGUGAGAUGUGGAGGCAAAGUGAGCAGUUGCCAUUUUGGAUCAGUUUGGCCCUUGUGGAUGUUCCAUGCAACGUGGGAGAAUGUGCGAAGACUGGUGUGGGCUUGGCUGGUGGCUUGUCAAAACUGUCAACGUUGACACAUAUAGCCUUGUGGCUAGGACAAGAAAGUAGGAGUCAGAAUUCCUGGGAUAUACUCCUUGGACAAGUCACUCUACCCUUCCAAACCUCAGUUUACCCAUAAAGAAAAACAGAUGUAACAAUAUUUGUGUGGGUAUUUAUUGGGUUAUCUCUCUCAGGACACCGUCAAUACCAGGUUGAGUAAUCAAGACCGCCGAACAGGGAAAUAACCCACUUCCUUCCCUGAUGAACGAAGGGACGCACCCCACCCAUGUACUUUUUCGCUACACUGAUAUUGACUUGGACUCUUAAUACAUUCCAUGGGUGGCAUACCUGAGCCCACUUAUCCACUGAUGCUUUAAAAAACCCUGCCCCCCAAUCUGGGUUUAUGCUGGUUAUGUGAUAUGUAUCUAUCUCGUGAUCCUUGUAACCGAUACCUAUAAUCCCUCAUAACUCAAGCCUGACCCCAGAUUUACAGUA